CUGUUUGUAUUUCCAUCCAUUGACUGUUUGUUGACUAACAUAAAGACAAAAUUACCCCUGGCACUCAAAAAGACUUAAAUACACCCUUCUCCUUCCUUGAGCACCAAAUAUCACAUUAAACAUUAAAACACUUAAAAUGCCGUUGAGGAAAAAAAACAAAAAUAUAUUGACAUUAAACAUUUAUCAACUAAAAAAAUAAUUCAUCAGACAGAGUAAUAAAUACAAAGAGUUUAAUAUUUUAGUUACAUUGAGAUUUAAUAAAAAAUACAUAGUUGUCUUGAGAAAAUGUAAAAUUGAGAUUACAAAUACAAAUUCGUGUGUGUGUAAAGAGGUAUAAAAGACAAUUUGAUUUCAAUAGCAACCGAAUAGCAUUUUAAAACUAUUCCCAAUCGCAAGAUACUUUGUCGUCAUCUCCUAUGCAUUAAGAAUUUAUUCUCCACAACUUGAAUCAAUGCCCCUUUCACUUCUACUUAUUUUUGAAGUAGAGCUAUCUAUUUUUUUAAUUUGUUUUAGCAUAUCCUACCCUUUUUCUCUCCAUUUGCUCCUGCCAAUUAUUGAAUAUGCUGAUGAAGAAACUGUAAGUAAAACAAAGAAAGAAAGAAAAAUCUAGAACAAUGAAAGAAAAACAAAAACUAGAACAAGAAAAGUCAGUUUACUUCAAUGUAUUCCAAUGAUAACAACAACAGAAAUUGCAAGUCAUGGAUCCCCAUCUUAGCAUCUGAUGUUACUCCAUUCAGAAAUGUUACUACUAUUUUCAUUUUGUACAUUCAACUUCUAAUAAGUUACAGAGCCAUUUAAAAUUGAAAUUGCAAAUCAAGACAUAAGACAGAUUCAAUAACACAAAUAAUUUAAAUCUUUUACACAAAUAUCAUCCAUCAUCCACUUAGGUUAAUGUGAUGAAAGAAAUAUUCUCAAUUUCAUAUUUUCAUAAGCAAUUUGCACACAACUCUAAAAUAAAAGACACUGGAACAUGAUGUUGUUAAGUUUUAUAAAACUUACAGUCCCUACAGCAAAGUUUGGUGACAUAAACGUGUUUGCGUUAAAACAAGAAAGACGAAAAUGGCAAACCUAGAUGAACAAAGUUGAUAUUAAAAAGAAGGAAUUAAAUCAGCUUCAUCAUAUGAAACAAAAAUUGGAAUCCACAAAGCGUGCAUGUACAGAAGAAGAUGUCAAUCAAAAUUCGAAAUGAGUGGCAACACCACCGUAGAAGAUGGGGAAAAAUAUACGCUAAGUACUAAAACGAAGACACUAGUAACUUUCAGUUGAAAUUAUAAUAAGAAAUUAAUUUUAGCUUUUUGCAGUUGAUGAUUUCAAAUCGCAUCUAAAUUGAUAUAUGGAACAAUUGAAUUAUAUUAUGCUUCUCCCCUAACAUACCACAUAAAUAAAACAAUCAAUUGAAAGCCGCAAACCAUUUCAAAUACCUAAACUCACUGAUCCAACACAAAAGAAUGUAGCAGAGCAUUUUUGUUUUUCUCAAACCAAGGCAUGUAAAUACCACAAUCUAAACCACCAAAAAAGGGAAAAAAAUUAAAAACCCUUAUAACAAAAUUGCAUCUAUAUACACUUCAAGCAAAUCUUCAACAAGCAUUUUCAUCUAUCACGAAUCCAUGGAAAAAAUCAAAAGUACACAACUAAAAAUCUAAAACAAUUUUCAAGACCCUUUUUCAAUUAAUUACAAAACCAUAAAAGAUAUUCGACUUAACUUUAUCUUCAACAUGAUUUGGGUUAAUCAUUUAACCGUAACUAACGCGAAUCGAUGGAAAAAUCAGGAGAAACAGCUACAUUCUCAAACAAUUUUGAGACCCAUUUUCAAUUUUUCACUAGAAAUUCUAAUUUUAGCCAAUGAAAAUAACAUGCACUAAAAGAAAUUGAUACAUACCUCAUUCACAUCUCCAAAACAACAUGAUGUUUGGUCGUUCGAUGGCGAAACUCACUAGUUGUGAAUCAUUCGUCAUCAAUAUUGACGUCGUCAACUUUGUCGUCAUGGUCUCUAGUUUGUGGGCACAGUUCUUGAUCAAUUCAUUAUAGAGAAAAGAAAAUGGGUUUUGAGCUACCGUGCUUCGAUUUUGGUGGAGGAAAUAGACGAGCUGUAUUUCUAUUUUUGGCGGAUGAAAGAGAUGAAUGGAGUUCAGAGUCCAAUGUGAAAAUCUUAAAUGUUUUAAAACUUUUUAUCAUUAACUUAUUCAAUUACGAUCUUG
rnacentral:lncRNA from 1 species